UAAACGGCCCUUUUAAGGGCCACCAAUACGCUCUCGCAGCGGGGA
rfam:Nasonia vitripennis chromosome 3, whole genome shotgun sequence.